AGUGGGGGCGCUGUAUCCACUUUGAGUCACCAGAAGAAGAAAAAGGCGGAAGUGAAUGUUCUUGUCUUCAUCAUGGCUCCUCCCGUAGCUGUCUCUCCGCUCAUUAAGACGGCCCGGUGGUCUGCCCUGUUGCUUGGCGUCUUGUAUGGCAAACAGAGGUUUG